CUUCAACACGGAUAUAUUUCAUUUCAAGUGUAAGAGACGUUGUCACCCUCAGGCAAAGUGACCCCUCCCCGAAGUAGUUUUUAAUCAGGCUGUUUCCUGAUGGUCUGCUCUCAGUUCCACCCUCAAAGGCCUGCAGAUGCUGCGGUGGGAGCGAUUACAGUUUCAUUAGUUGGACAAGCCGGGCAGGAGGGAAGGACACGGCUGUCAAGGAGAGAGCAGUAAAACAUCUGCAAAUCCACAUGGAUUGAGAGGAGCCCGUGUUGGAGGCUGAGACACAGACAGGAGAUCGCUCCCAGGUGGAGGAAAUAAUGGAGAAGAUCACGGAGUUUUACAGCUCUGAGCCUCCAAAUUGGCCACUGGCUGUGAGAGGAGCACUCAGCAGGACUGUCCCUUGCCAUCCCUCUGGCCCAGGGAUGUCCAGUGUGGCCUCCAGGGAUUCCCUCAAGGCUUCCCUGUUUCCCGGGGGUCAGAAUGGAAAACCAUCCCCAUUCCUCACCAGAACCUCUGGCAGCCUCAGGGUGCUCAGCCAGAGGCUCCAGGUCAGACUCACUUUUCCCUUGUGUGCCUUGGGAUUGCCCAGGGCUCAGGUAUCUCCUGGGUGCCAUAAAUGGCAUGAGAAG
rnacentral:lncRNA from 1 species